UAGCUGAGUGUCUUGAUGGAGAUCUAUA
rnacentral:piRNA from 1 species